rnacentral:pre_miRNA from 1 species
CUGGUGGUCGCUGGCUGUAACAGCAUCUCCAUAUGGAAUAGCUCAGGGUUCCAGUGGAGCUGCUGUUAUGGGCGGAGAGACACCUC